GACGAACGCUGGCGGCGUGCCUAAUACAUGCAAGUUGAGCGAUGAAGAUUGGUGCUUGCACCAAUUUGAAGAGCAGCGAACGGGUGAGUAACGCGUGGGUAAUCUGCCUUUGAGCGGGGGACAACAUUUGGAAACGAAUGCUAAUACCGCAUAACAACUUUAAACAUAAGUUUUAAGUUUGAAAGAUGCAAUUGCAUCACUCAAAGAUGAUCCCGCGUUGUAUUAGCUAGUUGGUGAGGUAAAGGCUCACCAAGGCGAUGAUACAUAGCCGACCUGAGAGGGUGAUCGGCCACAUUGGGACUGAGACACGGCCCAAACUCCUACGGGAGGCAGCAGUAGGGAAUCUUCGGCAAUGGACGAAAGUCUGGCCGAGCAACGCCGCGUGAGUGAAGAAGGUUUUCGGAUCGUAAAACUCUGUUGGUAGAGAAGAACGUUGGUGAGAGUGGAAAGCUCAUCAAGUGACGGUAACUACCCAGAAAGGGACGGCUAACUACGUG
rnacentral:rRNA from 1 species